AUUGAACGCUGGCGGCAGGCCUAACACAUGCAAGUCGAACGAGUGGCGGACGGGUGAGUAAUGUCUGGGAAACUGCCCGAUGGAGGGGGAUAACUACUGGAAACGGUAGCUAAUACCGCAUACCAUCGGAUGUGCCCAGAUGGGAUUAGCUAGAAGGUGGGGUAACGGCUCACCUAGGCGACGAUCCCUAGCGGGUCUGGGAGGAUGACCAUCCACACUGGAACUGGGACACGGUCCGGACGCCUGCGGGAGGCAGGAGUGGGGAAUAUUGCACAAUGGGGGGAGCCCUGAUGCAGCAACGCCGCGUGCGGGAGGACGGCCUUCGGGUUGUAAGCCUCUUUCAGCCAUGACGCGGUAGUGGCAGAAGAAGCACCGGCUAACUACGUGCCAGCAGCCGCGGUAAUUC
rnacentral:rRNA from 1 species